UGAGGAAUAUUGCGCAAUGGAGGAAACUCUGACGCAGCCAUGCCGCGUGCAGGAAGACGGCCUUAUGGGUUGUAAACUGCUUUUAUAUGCCAAGAAAACCUAGUACGUGUACUAGACUGACGGUAGCAUAUGAAUAAGGAUCGGCUAACUCCGUGCCAGCAGCCGCGGUAAUACGGAGGAUCCAAGCGUUAUCCGGAUUUAUUGGGUUUAAAGGGUUCGUAGGCGGAAAAUUAAGUCAGUGGUGAAAUCCUACAGCUCAACUGUAGAACUGCCAUUGAUACUGGUUUUCUUGAGUACAAAUGAGGUGGGCGGAAUGUGGCAUGUAGCGGUGAAAUGUAUAGAUAUGCCACAGAACACCAAUUGCGAAGGCAGCUCACUAAAAUGUAACUGACGCUGAGGAACGAAAGCGUGGGGAGCGAACGGG
rnacentral:rRNA from 1 species